GACGAACGCUGGCGGCGGGCUUAACACAUGCAAGUCGAACGGAAAGGCCCUGCUUUUGUGGGGUGCUCGAGUGGCGAACGGGUGAGUAACACGUGAGUAACCUGCCCUUGACUUUGGGAUAACUUCAGGAAACUGGGGCUAAUACCGGAUAGGAGCUCCUGCUGCAUGGUGGGGGGGGGAAAGUUUCGGCGGGUGGGGAUGGACUCGCGGCUUAUGAGCUUGUUGGUGGGGUAGUGGCUUACCAAGGCUUUGACGGGUAGCCGGCCUGAGAGGGUGACCGGCUACAGUGGGACUGAGAUACGGCCCAGACUGCUACGGGAGGCAGGAGUGGGGAAUAUUGCACAAUGGGCGGAGGCCUGAUGCAGCAACGCCGCGUGCGGGAUGACGGCUUUCGGGUUGUAAACCGCUUUCGCCUGUGACGAGGCGUGAGUGACGGUAAUGGGUAAAGAAGAACCGGCUAACUACGU
rnacentral:rRNA from 1 species